rnacentral:rRNA from 1 species
GGUUGUUUGCGUUACAAGCUGUCAUGUGUCAGUAUGAAUAUUUAACUUUGAAACUGCCAAUGGCUCAUUAUAUCAGUUAUAGUUUAUUUGAUGAAGAAUACUAAUUGGAUAACCGUAGUAAUUCUAGAGCUAAUACAUGUAUAAAGUCUUGUAGACUGCAUUUAUUAGAAUGAAAACCAUAGGUUUCGGCCUAUUCGUGAGUAAUAAUAACUAAUCAUAUCGUAUGCUUAUGUAACGAUGUGUCUUUCAAGUUUCUGCCCUAUCAGCUUUCGAUGGUAGUGUAUUGGACUACCAUGGCAGUAACGGGUAACGAAGAAUUUGGGUUCGAUUUCGGAGAGGGAGCCUGAGAGAUGGCUACCACAUCCAAGGAAGGCAGCAGGCGCGUAAAUUACCCAAUCCUGACACAGGGCGGUAGUGACAAUAAAUCACAAUGCGGAACAAUGUUUUGCAAUUGGAUUGAGAACAACGUACAAACCUUAUCGAUAAACAAUUGGAGGGCAAGUCUGGUGCCAGCAGCC